rnacentral:misc_RNA from 1 species
CCAAUAGCGUAUAUUAAAGUUGUUGCAGUUAAAAAGCUCGUAGUUGAAUUUCGGGGUUAGUAGGUUGGUCAUGCCUCUGGUAUGUACUGAUCUCACUGAUUCCUCCUUCCUUAUGAACCGUAAUGCCAUUAAUUUGGUGUUGCGGGGAAUUUGGACUGUUACUUUGAAAAAAUUAGAGUGUUUAAAGCAGGCUAACGCUUGAAUACAUUCGCAUGGAAUAAUGAAAUAGGACGUUCGAUCUUAUUUUGUUGGUUUCUAGGAUUGACGUAAUGAUUAAUAGGGAUAGUUGGGGGCAUUAGUAUUCAAUUGUCAGAGGUGAAAUUCUUGGAUUUAUUGAAGACUAACUACUGCGAAAGCAUUUGCCAAGGAUGUUUUCAUUAAUCAAGAACGAAAGUUAGGGGAUCGAAGACGAUCAGAUACCGUCGUAGUCUUAACCAUAAACUAUGCCGACUAGGGAUCGGAUGAUGUUAAUUUUUUAAUGACUCAUUCGGCGCCUUACGGGAAACCAAAGUGUUUGGGUC